GAUCAUGGCUCAGGAUGAACGCUGGCGGCGUGCUUAACACAUGCAAGUCGAACGAAGCACUUUAUUAUGAUUUCUUCGGAAUGACGAUUUAGUGACUGAGUGGCGGACGGGUGAGUAACGCGUGGGUAACCUGCCUUAUACAGGGGGGAUAACAGUUAGAAAUGACUGCUAAUACCGCAUAAGCGCACAGGAUUGCAUGAUCUGGUGUGAAAAACUCCGGUGGUAUAAGAUGG
rnacentral:rRNA from 1 species